UUCUCGGUACCGGGGUGGGUGGGUCAUGAGUGCACGUUCCCCGCUUCACUCCCCUCUCCAUCCUCUUUGAUUCCCCAUCCACCGCCGCCUCCUCUCAUGCCUCACCGCCGGCCUCCUCUAUGCCUCUUCCUCUACCUCUCGGACGACGCCUAGCUACGGCGCUCAAUGGCCACCCGUGCGACAUCCUGCAUCUGGCGCGGGAGCGUGUGGUGGUGACGAGCCGAGCCGUCUUUGUGGCGGCGUCCGGACGGGGCCGGGCGCAAGGUGGAGCUGCGGCCGGCGACCCGGCACCAGCGCAUGCCCGGCGGUGGGACCAUCUUCGCCGUGGCCGGUGGGGGGUUGGGCGGCAGCAAGCGGUGCAGCGAGGGGAGGCGCACGGGCGAGAGGGGUGGGGCUCUUGCUAGCCGCUCUCCCGUUCCCGUUGGUUUCUUGCCGCCACGGUGGCGUUUCACAGAUCGAGAUGGAUGGCGCGACGAUGACCAUGGCGCAGGGUCGUGAUGUGAUCCACCCUGUGAAGAGGGUAAUUUCUGCUUGUGAUUUGGGCAAGGAUCUGGGUGCUCUUCGUUUGCUCACUGUGUUUGUUCCUAGGUCAGCACCGCUGUUGUCAGCGGGUAGAAUGGUCGACUGGCCAUGGAGCCCUCUGCGAGCAGGUGAGCUUAAUUUCUAGGGGUAUGAGGUGAUUCUGGUCACCUCCGGCGCCGUCGGCGUCGGGAGGUAGAGGCUCAUGUACCGAAAGCUCAUCAACAGCAGUUUCGCUGAUCUGCAGAACCCACAGUUCGACCUGGAUGGGAAGGUCUACGCUGCCGUCGGCCAGAGUGGCCUCAUGGCUAUUUACGAUACACUGCUUAGCCAAGUUGUUCGUCGUCUGUGUUGUUAGCCAGCAAGUCCGUGUCGUUAGCCAGCAAGUUGGGUAAUUCUUCUGUUGCUUCAUGGAUUUUCCUGCACGUUGUGUCUGUAUUAUUGUCACUGAAGAUAUACCUCAACUGAAGAUCUAGCUCACGACAAUUAUGUACCUAAGGCUCGGAUGCAAGGUGCGAGUCAACAAUGCCAGUAGUGAGUCGAGAGAAGUGGAGAAGAGGGUCCCUCCAGGCUCCAUACAUGAAUGGUGGUGGCAUGUGGCAAUGUCGGGGAAAGCAAGGAAGAUGUUGUUGUACAUCGUCGAACAUAUAAACCCUGGUGGCCAAACUAAAUGUUUUAUAUUCCUUUGGGAAAAUUUUAAGGAAAUCCCCCCAAACAAAUUAUUCAGGUUAGAAGGAACAACUUUCACAUAGAAAGCACAUUGUAUCAAACUUCAGAUAAGUCUUGAUGCACCCUUCAGGCUGCAUGAUUAAUGCCUGUAAUUUACCUAAGCUAUCAACAAAUGGUUAGUUGCUGAGUUUACAUGCAGUUAUGAAAGUUAGAGCACAUACAUGCUUGAUUUUACUUCCUUUAAUACAGGGCAUUCUAUAAUUACUAAGAACUGAUUUGUUGAAGUGUGCCUCCCUAUUUUGUCCAGAUAACUACUUCAGGUUAGGCAGGAGAAAUAAAAAGGGUAACCAUAGAUAUAUGGUCUAGCAUCACGAGGUUCAGGUUCCUGCUGUUGAUCAACCAUUGCUUCAGUCGAGAGAUUAAAGAAGACUGAAAUAUGGGCUCAAGCGAUUGCUAUGUCCGACCUGCACAAGAAUGCCAAGAAGUCUUUCUCGGAGAUGAUUAAGGACAUGUACCUGCACUACAACGAGAGAUCUGAGCUGCUUCUUUGUGGCUUCCAAACUUGAAAUGUUUGUUUGGAAGUUAGUUUAGUUUUUUGUUUUGGAUUCACAGCUUCUCACAUGUACCAUCCUCUUAGACCUUUAGAUUUCCAAAGAAACUAAAUGAAGAUAUGGUGGUAUGGUCUCAAUAGUACAACUUAAAUCUUUCUAUGCUUUAUAUUUGCUCUGAAAUUUGCUCUUGAAGAAUCAUGUAUCUAUGUUAGAUCCCGUGAGCUUUAUAUUUGCUCUGAAAUUUGUUCUUGAAGCA